CCUCAGCUCCCAGGGCCUUGGUUUUCUCGUCUGUACAAUGGACACAGUAGCAGCACCUCGCAGGUUUGUUGUGACUUUAAAGGGGCUUAGCAUUGUUCUCAGCGCUGAGGAAUUGCUCAAUAAAUGCUGGUGGUUACAGUUUCCUUGGGAACCCAGGGAGCCAGGGCAAGCUGCAGAGAGGAAAAAGUGAAUCAGAGGGAAAAUGUUCAUAUCAGAAACUGGAGAUCAAAACAAAACAAAACAAAGCCCUUUUUUGGGCACUCAGGAAGCCAAUCUGAGCUGCUCCUCCAUGGCCUUGUCCAGCUUUGACAAAUGUUUUUCCUGUUCCCAGAGCAGACUCUGAUCCUCUUCAAGAUGGGAGACUCUCAGGGAAAUCUUCAGAGGUUUGUUAUGACGGAAGCAGGAAGGUGAUGGAUAUGUUUUGGGGCAUUUUGAAACACAAAGGUGAAUGUAAUUUGGGAGGAGAGCUGUAUUUUCAUCCAGAGCUAUUAAAAUGCACCAGAGUGCCCUCUCCCUAAACCCCUGCCAGCCUUGAUAUUUUCCUAGAUCUCCACUCUAGAACUUCUGUGAGUGACACAGGCAGCCAUGACCGAGCUCACCGGAGUGGCGCAGCCAGUUUGCAGAUGAAGUUUUCCCAAGUGGGCCCAGAGCUGCCUGCAAACAUGGCCAGCGACAAGGACGUGGAGUGAGUCACUUCCCUUUGCCGUGAUGUGCCCACAGCUGCUCAACUGCACGAUCGGGGUAACCCCUUGAAAACCCCCUUAGGAGCUGCGGGCAGGGGCAGCCUUGCUCAAUCUGGCUUAAUUGAUGCUCAUCUCAUCUGUACAGCAGGUCCUGCUUAACCGGGUGAGGUCAAGUUCGAAGAGCUGAGUCUUGCAAUCUGGGAAACCAAGCCAUGAACCUGGUUCUGUCACCAGCUGAAGUCAAGUUGCUCAAGACUCCAUCCUUCUCUAGAGAGCCUAUCGGGAGCUUAUUUGGAGUGAAUACCAUUCGGAAAAAAAUUCAGCUAAGAAAAACAGGAAUCAAGACAUCAGUACAGGUUGCUGACAGGACCUUUGAUCUGGCCAGAAAUAAAUAUAAAGGAAGCAGCCACGAGCUCUCUUGCUGAGUUGCCAUCCAAACCAGCGGAGAUCAAUUUCGGUCUCAGGUGGCCCCCAGGACCGGGGAGCAGUGGGUGUGAGUUCCACUUUGCAAGGGGAGGCUGAGGCUCCCUGGAGAUUGUCCAGUGCUUCCUGCCUCCCGAGGCAGGGGAUGUGGGGAGAAAAGAAGACUCCAAAGAGCUCAGCACUGGCAGUGGGCUGGGUUCCGGAGAAGAGUCUGACCUGAUCCAGACGUGACAGUGAACUGCAGCAUUUGGGAAACGACAGUGAUGACAGCAGGUCCUUUCUCAUGCCUCCCACACAGUGGGCAAAAUACUCACACACAUAACCUUACUUGACCAUUACGGGGGCCCUAGGAAGCACGGAGGACCAUUAUUUUCACUUCAGAGGAGAAAACCGAGGUUUGGGGUAUAUUCAUGAGUUUCCCAGGGUCACCGUAGCUAAGGUGCCUCAGAGGAGAAUCCAGGCUCUGUGACUCCGACACUUAGCCAUUUAACCACUCUUCUCUUCUUAGCUAAUGACCGCAGCCCAGACGUUUGAGUUUCUCAAUGGAAAUGUUAUAGUUUCCCGCCUUGGUCCUUGAGCUGCAGUAUUAUAAAAACAGCAUCAUGAAGCAUGGUAUUUAUUGAAUGCUUGCUGUGUACACAGCCUGUGGGGGACUUUGACGGUCCAGAGGUGGGUGUGCACAGGAGGGCUCGGGAAGGAGUAGGGGAAGAGGUGUGGUUAUUAGGUGAUGUGGCCCUGUGUCUGGCUUGGGUGGCAGGAUGAAUGGCAGGACCACUCACCAGAUCAGCACACGGAAGGAAAAGGAUCAGCGGGGAGAAGGGGACAGGGACACUGAUCACUCACUCAGCACCAGCCCCUUACUCCCUACAAAUAGACUUUGUUCAUGCUUUGGCUGGUGGUGUAGUGGUGGCGUGUGAACCAUUUCUAAUCCAUGAGUAUUAGAUAGGGGCUGGAAUGACUCCAGAAAUGUUGCUUCUUGAUUGAUCCAAGUGAUCCCAGAGAAGGGGUUGCCUGCUGUCCUGUGCUUUCUGCCUUUGCCUGGGGUCGUGGUGUCUGGAGCCGGGACCGCCAUCUUGG
rnacentral:lncRNA from 1 species